rnacentral:rRNA from 1 species
UACGGAGGGUGCAAGCGUUGUUCGGAAUAACUGGGCGUAAAGAGCACGUAGGCGGACCUGUAAGUCGAUUGUGAAAUCCCCGGGCUUAACCUGGGAAUUGCAGUCGAAACUGCAAGUCUUGAAUGUCUAAGAGGGCAAUGGAAUUCCUGGUGUAGAAGUGAAAUUCGUAGAUAUCAGGAGGAACACCGGAGGCGAAGGCGAUUGCCUGGUGGUGCAUUGACGCUGAGGUGCGAAAGCGUGGGGAGCAAACAGG